rnacentral:rRNA from 1 species
CCUACGGGUGGCAGCAGUGAGGAAUAUUGCGCAAUGGGCGAAAGCCUGACGCAGCGACGCCGCGUGAGGGAUGAAGGUCUUCGGAUCGUAAACCUCUGUCAGCCGGGAAACACGGUCACUGUGCUAAUCAGCAGUGAAUUGACGGUACCUGCAAAGGAAGCACCGGCUAACUCCGUGCCAGCAGCCGCGGUGAUACGGGGGGUGCGAGCGGUAAUCGGAAUUACUGGGCGUAAAGCGAUCGUAGGCGGUAUGUCAAGUCAAGGGGGAAAUCCCCGCGCUCAACGUGGGAACUGCCUUUGAAACUGGCAAACUGGAGUGUGUGAGAGGAUAGUGGAAUGCCAGGUGUAGGAGUGAAAUCCGUAGAUAUCGGGAGGAACAUCAGUUGCGAAGGCGACUAUCUGGCACAUAACUGACGCUGAGGAGCGAAAGCGUGGGUAGCAAACAGGAUUAGAUACCCCAGUAGUC